rnacentral:rRNA from 1 species
CAAUAACGUAUAUUAAAGUUGUUGCGGUUACAAAGCUCCCACUUCGAUUUCUGCCGAGGACGAUCGAGAACGUGUCUGCACUUGACCGUGUGGUACGGUAUCCAGAAUUCUAUUUUCUUUGUUUUUCGAAAAUUUGCAUGUUUCAAGCAGGUGUUUGCCAUGAAUACAUUACCAUGAAAUAAUAAGAUAGGACCUUGGUUCUCUUUUGUUGGUGUCUAGAGCUGAGGUGAUGAUAGAUAGGGAUAGUUGGGGGCAUUCGUAUUUAACUGUCAUAGGUGAAAUGCUUGGAUCUGUUAAAAGGCGGACUAUUGCGAAAAUAUUUGCCAAGGAUGUUCUCAUUGAUCAAGGACGAAAGUUAGGGGAUCGAAGACGAUUAGAUACCAU